GACGAACGCUGGCGGCGUGCUUAACACAUGCAAGUCGAGCGAGGCUUCCUUCUUCGGAAGGGAUGUCCUAGCGGCGAACGGGUGAGUAACACGUGGGCAACCUGCCCCUAGCACUGGGAUAACCCCGGGAAACCGGGGCUAAUACCGGAUACGACCUCAACGGGCAUCUGUCGAGGUGGAAAAGGUUUACUGGCUAGGGAUGGGCCCGCGGCCUAUCAGCUUGUUGGUGGGGUAACGGCCUACCAAGGCGACGACGGGUAGCCGGCCUGAGAGGGCGACCGGCCACACUGGGACUGAGACACGGCCCAGACUCCUACGGGAGGCAGCAGUGGGGAAUAUUGCACAAUGGGCGAAAGCCUGAUGCAGCGACGCCGCGUGAGGGAUGACGGCCUUCGGGUUGUAAACCUCUUUCAGCUCCGACGAAGCGAAAGUGACGGUAGGAGCAGAAGAAGCACCGGCCAACUACGUGCCAGCCGCCGCCGUAACAC
rnacentral:rRNA from 1 species